rnacentral:rRNA from 1 species
AAUAGAUACCCGGGUAGUCCACGCCGUAAACGAUGAGUGCUAAGUGUUAGAGGGUUUCCGCCCUUUAGUGCUGCAGCUAACGCAUUAAGCACUCCGCCUGGGGAGUACGGUCGCAAGACUGAAACUCAAAGGAAUUGACGGGGGCCCGCACAAGCAGUGGAGCAUGUGGUUUAAUUCGAAGCAACGCGAAGAACCUUACCAGGUCUUGACAUCCUCUGACAACUCUAGAGAUAGAGCGUUCCCCUUCGGGGGACAGAGUGACAGGUGGUGCAUGGUUGUCGUCAGCUCGUGUCGUGAGAUGUUGGGUUAAGUCCCGCAACGAGCGCAACCCUUGAUCUUAGUUGCCAGCAUUUAGUUGGGCACUCUAAGGUGACUGCCGGUGACAAACCGGAGGAAGGUGGGGAUGACGUCAAAUCAUCAUGCCCCUUAUGACCUGGGCUACACACGUGCUACAAUGGAUGGUACAAAGGGCUGCAAGACCGCGAGGUCAAGCCAAUCCCAAUAAAACCAUUCUCAGUUCGGAUUGU